rnacentral:rRNA from 1 species
AACGAACGCUGGCGGCAGGCUUAACACAUGCAAGUCGAACGCCCCGCAAGGGGAGUGGCAGACGGGUGAGUAACGCGUGGGAACAUACCCUUUUCUACGGAAUAGCUCUGGGAAACUGGAAUUAAUACCGUAUACGCCCUACGGGGGAAAGAUUUAUCGGGGAAGGAUUGGCCCGCGUUGGAUUAGCUAGUUGGUGGGGUAAAGGCCUACCAAGGCGACGAUCCAUAGCUGGUCUGAGAGGAUGAUCAGCCACAUUGGGACUGAGACACGGCCCAAACUCCUACGGGAGGAAGCAGUGGGGAAUAUUGGACAAUGGGCGCAAGCCUGAUCCAGCCAUGCCGCGUGAGUGAUGAAGGCCUUAGGGUUGUAAAGCUCCUUCACCGAUGAAGAUAAUGACGGUAGUCGGAGAAGAAGCCCCGGCUAACUUCGUG